rnacentral:rRNA from 1 species
GACGGGCGAGUAACGCGUGAGUAACCUGCCCAUAAGAGGGGGAUAAUCCAUGGAAACGUGGACUAAUACCGCAUAUUGUAGUUAAGUUGCAUGACUUGAUUAUGAAAGAUUUAUCGCUUAUGGAUGGACUCGCGUCAGAUUAGAUAGUUGGUGAGGUAACGGCUCACCAAGUCAACGAUCUGUAGCCGAACUGAGAGGUUGAUCGGCCGCAUUGGGACUGAGACACGGCCCAGACUCCUACGGGAGGCAGCAGUGGGGAAUAUUGCGCAAUGGGGGCAACCCUGACGCAGCAACGCCGCGUGCAGGAAGAAGGUCUUCGGAUUGUAAACUGUUGUCGCAAGGGAAGAAGACAGUGACGGUACCUUGUGAGAAAGUCACGGCUAACUACGUGCCAGCAGCCGCGGUAAUACGUAGGUGACAAGCGUUGUCCGGAUUUACUGGGUGUAAAGGGCGCGUAGGCGGACUGUCAAGUCAGUCGUGAAAUACCGGGGCUUAACCCCGGGGCUGCGAUUGAAACUGACAGCCUUGAGUAUCGGAGAGGAAAGCGGAAUUCCUAGUGUAGCGGUGAAAUGCGUAGAUAUUAGGAGGAACACCAGUGGCGAAGGCGGCUUUCUGGACGACAACUGACGCUGAGGCGCGAAAGUGUGGGGAGCAAACAGGAUUAGAUACCCUGGUAGUCCACACCGUAAACGAUGGAUACUAGGUGU